CCAAUAGCGUAUAUUAAAGUUGUUGCAGUUAAAAAGCUCGUAGUUGAAUUUCGGGAUCAAUUAAUUGGUCGUGCCUCUGGUACGUACUGAUUUUAUUGGUUUCUCCCUUCUGACGAACCAUGAUGUCAUUAAUUUGGUGUGGUGGAGAAUCAGGACUGUUACUUUGAAAAAAUUAGAGUGUUUAAAGCAAGCUAACGCUUGAAUACAUUAGCAUGGAAUAAUGAAAUAGGACGUUUGAUCCUAUUUUGUUGGUUUCUAGGAUCGACGUAAUGAUUAAUAGGGAUAGUUGGGGGCAUUAGUAUUCAAUUGUCAGAGGUGAAAUUCUUGGAUUUAUUGAAGACUAACUACUGCGAAAGCAUUUGCCAAGGAUGUUUUCAUUAAUCAAGAACGAAAGUUAGGGGAUCGAAGACGAUCAGAUACCGUCGUAGUCUUAACCAUAAACUAUGCCGACUAGGGAUCGGAUGAUGUUAAUUUUUUAAUGACUCAUUCGGCGCCUUACG
rnacentral:rRNA from 1 species